UCAUGAAGGAAGCAUGGUAAUGUGCACAGAGAAUGAAUCUUUGGGUCCACAUGUCUGCUCUCUCUGAUGUCUGAUUUGAGGGCCUGGUUGUGACCCACAUUC